UCCGGAAAACCGGGGUGCUAAUACCGCAUAGUUUUCUUGAUCGCAUGAUCGGGAAAGGAAGACGGCCUUUGUGCUGUCGCGUUAUGGAUGGACCCGCGGCGUAUUAGUAGUUGGUGAGGUAACGGCUCACCAAGACGAUGAUACGUAGCCGACCUGAGAGGGUGAUCGGCCACAUUGGGACUGAGACACGGCCCAAACUCCUACGGGAGGCAGCAGUAGGGAAUCUUCCGCAAUGGACGAAAGUCUGACGGAGCAACGCCGCGUGAGUGAAAAGAAGGUUUUUCGGAUCGUAAAACUCUGUUGUCAGAGAAGAACAAGUUGGAGAGUAACUGCUCCAGCCUUGACGGUAUCUGACCAGAAAGCCACGGCUAACUACGUGCCAGCCGCCGC
rnacentral:rRNA from 1 species